GCCCGGCUACCUCAGUCGGCAGAGCAUGAGACUCUUAAUUUCAGCGUCGUGGGUUCGAGCCCCACGUUGGGCG
rfam:Sus scrofa chromosome 3.